rnacentral:sRNA from 1 species
ACAGUUGAGCCCAUGACCCAAUCAUGACCAUUUUCUUGCUGGUGGUUUGUUUAUGGAAGAGAUACUAUCACUAUCUGACCAAUGGAAUUCGCAAAGACAUGAUUGCCCCUGAAGAGGGUGAAGUGAUGGUUCGGAUUUCAAAGCUGAUUUCUAACACGCUGCUGACGAGUCCCUUCCUGGAGCCCCUGAUGGUGGUCCUUGUGCAGGAGAAGGAGAAUGACUAUUACUUUAGCCUCAUGAAAAGCAUCGUUGAUUACAUCCUCAUGGACCCAGUGGAGAGAAAACGGCUCUUUAUUGAGAGCAUCCCCCGCUUGUUUCCUCAAAGAGUGAUCCGGGCCCCUGUGCCCUGGCACAGUGUCUACAAGAGCGCCAAGAAGUGGAACGAGGAGCAUCUGCACACAGUGAACCCUAUGAUGCUGAGGCUGAAAGAACUGUGGUUUGCAGAGUAAGAAGUCCCUCCCUUUGUUUUUCAUUCCCUUUCUUUAUCGCAUCCACGUGUAAGCAAGCCUAUUCUGCUGUGCACAGUGGGGGUAGCCCUGACAGCACAGAGAAAUG